ACUGGUUGGGAACUACAACAAUUUUAUAAAUCAUAAAAGUUACAACAAAAAUUUGAAUUUUUAACUAAACCAGAACUCUAUUUCAAGAAAACCCGACACAGAUCAGUCAGUAACGUGAUUAAUCUAUGAGUUAUGUGGAAAAACUAUGGAAAUACACAAAACAUCUGAAUGAAAAUCAGCGAAAUCAAACCGAGAUUCGAACCACAACCUCCUCAACAGAAGUCAAAUGCUGUACCUCAGGAUCUGCAGGGAAAUUCCUCAAGGAUAUUCCACAAUAUACUCCUUCCAAGCCCUCACUUUCCUAUCUAACUCGAGGCUAUGUUAAGUUCUUUAUUUUAACAACGGCUUCGAAUAACCUCAUCAGUCAACUUAAAAUAGCCAUACACUAACUUGGUAGACGUAUGGGGGCAAGCUGUAUGACAGGACAGACGGUCGAGGACCUUGCAGCGAGUACAGCGCGUCAUUGAACAAUGAGCAGACAUGUUGUGAA